AUGGCCAUAUUAUGUUGAAACAUUGGUUCCUGUAUGAUCACAGAAGUUAAACCACGUUAAACCUGGUCAGUACCUAGAUGGGUGACUGCUUGGGAAUGCCAGGUGGUGUAA